rnacentral:rRNA from 1 species
CCUACGGGAGGCAGCAGUGGGGAAUUUUGGACAAUGGGCGCAAGCCUGAUCCAGCAAUGCCGCGUGCAGGAUGAAGGCCUUCGGGUUGUAAACUGCUUUUGUACGGAACGAAACGGCCCUUUCUAAUACAAGGGGCUAAUGACGGUACCGUAAGAAUAAGCACCGGCUAACUACGUGCCAGCAGCCGCGGUAAUACGUAGGGUGCGAGCGUUAAUCGGAAUUACUGGGCGUAAAGCGUGCGCAGGCGGUUAUAUAAGACAGAUGUGAAAUCCCCGGGCUCAACCUGGGACCUGCAUUUGUGACUGUAUAGCUAGAGUACGGUAGAGGGGGAUGGAAUUCCGCGUGUAGCAGUGAAAUGCGUAGAUAUGCGGAGGAACACCGAUGGCGAAGGCAAUCCCCUGGACCUGUACUGACGCUCAUGCACGAAAGCGUGGGGAGCAAACAGGAUUAGAUACCCUGGUAGUCCACGCCCUAAACGAUGUCAACUGGUUGUUGGGUCUUCACUGACUCAGUAACGAAGCUAACGCGUGAAGUUGACCGCCUGGGGAGUACGGCCGCGAAGGUUGAAACGUCAAAUUGAAUUGACGG